UACGAAGGGGGCUAGCGUUGCUCGGAAUCACUGGGCGUAAAGCGCACGUAGGCGGAUUGUUAAGUCAGGGGUGAAAUCCUGGAGCUCAACUCCAGAACUGCCUUUGAUACUGAGAAGCUUGAGUCCGGGAGAGGUGAGUGGAACUGCGAGUGUAGAGGUGAAAUUCGUAGAUAUUCGCAAGAACACCAGUGGCGAAGGCGGCUCACUGGCCCGAUACUGACGCUCAUGCACGAAAAGCGUGGGGAGCAAACAGG
rnacentral:rRNA from 1 species